rnacentral:rRNA from 1 species
AGCGGUAACAGAGAGUAGCUUGCUACUUUGCUGACGAGCGGCGGACGGGUGAGUAAUGCUUGGGAACAUGCCUUGAGGUGGGGGACAACAGUUGGAAACGACUGCUAAUACCGCAUAAUGUCUACGGACCAAAGGGGGCUUCGGCUCUCGCCUUUAGAUUGGCCCAAGUGGGAUUAGCUAGUUGGUGAGGUAAUGGCUCACCAAGGCGACGAUCCCUAGCUGGUUUGAGAGGAUGAUCAGCCACACUGGGACUGAGACACGGCCCAGACUCCUACGGGAGGCAGCAGUGGGGAAUAUUGCACAAUGGGCGCAAGCCUGAUGCAGCCAUGCCGCGUGUGUGAAGAAGGCCUUCGGGUUGUAAAGCACUUUCAGUCAGGAGGAAAGGGUGGUGGUUAAUACCCGUCAGCUGUGACGUUACUGACAGAAGAAGCACCGGCUAACUCCGUGCCAGCAGCCGCGGUAAUACGGAGGGUGCGAGCGUUAAUCGGAAUUACUGGGCGUAAAGCGUACGCAGGCGGUUUGUUAAGCGAGAUGUGAAAGCCCCGGGCUCAACCUGGGAACUGCAUUUCGAACUGGCAAACUAGAGUGUGAUAGAGGGUGGUAGAAUUUCAGGUGUAGCGGUGAAAUGCGUAGAGAUCUGAAGGAAUACCGAUGGCGAAGGCAGCCACCUGGGUCAACACUGACGCUCAUGUACGAAAGC